rnacentral:rRNA from 1 species
AUGAAGCCGGUCACGGUGCUGGAUCGUAGAAAUGAAGCAAAUGAGAAGAGGUACCCUCCAAAACCAAAUGAUGAAGUGUAUCGUCUGGAAGAAAUAGCCAACGAUGGAACUUACCACAGGAGGCUUAAAAAUGCUAAAAUCUACACAGUGGAAGACUUCUUGAAGGCUCUGAAUAAGGACGCAGACGACCUCCGUGUAAGGGUUCUUCUGAUAAAGAAGGUGAACAACUCCUGGGGAAAAAUGGUUAAGCAUGCUAAGGGAUGCUGUCUCACAGACAUAAAUGAUAGGAUGAAUGUCAGUCUUCCUCAACAAGUUCCGUUUGACUAUGUGAUGAAUGACAAUCUUCCUCAACAAGGUCCCUCUAGCACACAUUCUUCUCUGGAUGCAGUCAUUCUUGAGCCGGAUGAGGCUCUUCAAAGAACCACAGCAAACGAAAACCGGUUUCAUGAUAAGAUUGACCAUCUCACUGAACCAUCUCACCACAAUGAGUAUGUUCAUGGUGAUCAGAACACAGUUAAGUCAAAUUAUUACCAAGGUCAAUCCAAUCCAGAAAAUGGCAAUCUUGCUGAACAAGUUCCAUUUAACUAUGUGAUGAAUGUCAAUCCUCCUGAACAAGCUCCCUCUAGCACACAUUCAUCUCUGGAUGCGGUCAUGCUUAAGCCGGAUGAGGUACUUCAAGGAACUGCAGCGGAUGAAAAUCGGUUUCAUCAUGUCACUGAACCAUCUCACUCCAAUGAGCAUGUUCAUGGUGAUGAGAAUGCAGUUAAUACACAUUAUUACCAAGGUGUCCCACCCCUUGGCCAGCAGCAACCUACAACAUUCAUGGCACCUUCACAGUUGGAUGGUGAAUUUCUAUGGAUCUUAGAAGGAUCAGUUCAAGCAAACAUCCAUAGCCAGAUGCAAGUUCCCAUAUCCAUGGAUUGUGGCAGUGCCAUGUAG